rnacentral:rRNA from 1 species
GCAUAUCAAUAAGCGGAGGAAAAGAAACCAACAGGGAUUGCCUUAGUAACGGCGAGUGAAGCGGCAAAAGCUCAAAUUUGAAAUCUGGCACCUUCGGUGUCCGAGUUGUAAUUUGAAGAAGGUAACUUUGGAGUUGGCUCUUGUCUAUGUUCCUUGGAACAGGACGUCACAGAGGGUGAGAAUCCCGUGCGAUGAGAUGCCCAAUUCUAUGUAAAGUGCUUUCGAAGAGUCGAGUUGUUUGGGAAUGCAGCUCUAAGUGGGUGGUAAAUUCCAUCUAAAGCUAAAUAUUGGCGAGAGACCGAUAGCGAACAAGUACAGUGAUGGAAAGAUGAAAAGAACUUUGAAAAGAGAGUGAAAAAGUACGUGAAAUUGUUGAGAGGGAAGGGCUUGAGAUCAGACUUGGUAUUUUGCGAUCCUUUCCUUCUUGGUUGGGUUCCUCGCAGCUUACUGGGCCAGCAUCGGUUUGGAUGGUAGGAUAAUGACUAAGGAAUGUGGCUCUACUUCGGUGGAGUGUUAUAGCCUUGGUUGAUACUGCCUGUCUAGACCGAGGACUGCGUCUUUUGACUAGGAUGUUGGCAUAAUGAUCUUAAGCCACCCGUCUUGAAACACGGACC